rnacentral:rRNA from 1 species
CAUUCGCACCCGGCCACAGCACACCUAAUUAAAAUCCCCUAGCGCGCUGAAGUGGCGGAAAAACUGUUUAGAUAGCGUGGCGCGGGCAACUAAGUACUAACGUGAAGUGUCGUGCAUGCGUUUCACACUACCAAUAAAAAUACGUGUUUUAAUUGCUGCUCGGAACCAACGAAGACAGACUUCGUUGUUCAAUCAUCUUUGCCUUGACUGCAUCAUGCACGGAGCAGUAAGUAGUAAAAGCAUGCUCUUAGAGAGAGUAAGCACAGUCUCUACGACUAGCAUCUAGAGGGACACGAAUCUUUACGUGCCACGCCUAUUCGGAAAUAAAUGGGUCUUUCUACACACCUAUUCGGAAGGAAAAAACUUCACAUCGUGGACGUGGUAUGAUGACAUACACUUGGAACGCAGGUUCCAAGGAGACCGGUGCGUCGCUUAAGUCGUCACUUGGCACGUACCUCGACAGUGCGUUCUGCUUUCACCCCGCUGCCGGUACGCACGCACAUAUACUGGUAACGCGCCGCCCGUGUGCAAGUAACGUUCGUGCUGACUACGGUGAACGACUUAAGCAAAGUCUCGCGACCAUGCUGUCCGUAAUAAAGUCCAAACUUCGUCAGGCUCCUAGAGAAAGUCUCCGCCUCUUCGGUUCAGAACCGGCGAUGUUGAAUAUUCAUAGCGCGCGCGAGCGAAAGCACACGAGGACGGGCGACGACAACGUGAGUCCACGCCACCGUCCGGCACACACCACCAACGUCCACGUCGGCGCGCAAGAGAAGAGGCCCUCCCCGCUCCAGCAGCUAGCCCCUACCUGCCGCUCUACCCGCUCCUGGACGACCGCCUCUAGGAGCAGGCCGACGGCGUGUUCAGCGACCGCGCCAAGGUCACGCAGAGGUGGUGCACCGCCCCGGAGUAGCGGCGGCUGAUGGAGGCGGCCUCCGACGGCGAGUAGUGCAGGCCGCACGACAAGGUGCUGCCGGGCGCCCUGCCGCCCCCGCCCUCCGCCCGCAUGUGAAUGCGCGCGCGCCGCCGCAGCGGCAGCAGCCCGCUCCUGCCGCCGCCGCACCGCCUCCGGCUGCUGUACAGGAAGAAGGGCACGGUGCGGUGCAGGUCGUAGUAGCUGCCGACGUUGCCGGACGACGAGAUGAUGCGCAGGACGGGCCGCCGCAAGGUGCAGCACUUGGGCUGGUGCGCCGCCACCCGCCGCGAGGGCCUCGGGGCGUCCUUCUGCGACGAGAGGCACGACAGGAAGCUGGGGACGCGGAGGGGCGUGAUGUUCCACCAGACGAAGUGGCCCACCGACGGGGCCCCGCGGAGGCAGCUCCACAAGCUGAGCCUCUGGCCGCGCACCCCGCUCGUGCUCGAGCUGAAGCCGGAGCUGUGGCUGCGGUACAGCCGGUGGUACGUGACGAAGCGGCCGCGGCAGGUGCACAACCGUAUGAGCCCGGUGCAGCAGGCGUAGCUGGAGCGGUGGUACUCCACGUGCCAGUGGCGCGAGGGCCGCGGGCACUCGAUGGCCCGUGCGCGCCCGGUGACGGCGCCGGCCGAGGCCAUGCGCAGGUCGCUGCCUAGCGCGGAGUGCGACACCCUCGACCACCUGCGCCCGUUCAGGCUCACCCACCGCUUCGUGCUCGAGCCCCAGCCGCUGGAGCAGAGGCCGCCGAGCACGGUGGGGCGAUGGCGCUGGAAACACAAGUACCGCAAGGUGGGCCUCUCCCUCCACCACAUGGACACCUGCGGCAGCUUCGAGUAGCGCAAGUUGUACCUCGUCUCCGCGCAGCUCCUCCUCACGCACAAGCCCAGGCCCUUUCUUCUGCGCGUCGAGUAUGUUUAGACCGACAAAGGGAAGAGCGCGGUAAACCGGUCGACGAACCGGACUCACCGCUAUGGCGUGCGGUGUGACUCGUCGACUCCUACACUAGCGGAGGUUCUUACACCCAGGCAAAUGAUCAGAUGUCUUUACAUCAACGCAGGUCGUGGCGUGUUUUUUCUAUGUCGUUUCAGGUUUAUACCCUACGUGCUAUGCUAAUAGUAAAAGAUAUAAACUAACUACGUUUACGAACAAGACAAUAUCCCCUUAGAUAAACAUAAGACAUUAUUGCCAGAACAAGUUAAUGAACGGAUAAACUAUAUGAUAUAAGUUAAAGAAUGUGAUAAAUUAAACGG